rnacentral:rRNA from 1 species
UCCCUACGGGGUGCAGCAGUCGCGAAAACUUUGCAAUAAGCGAAAGCUUGACAGGGCUAUCCCGAGUGCCAUCCGCUGAGGAAGGCUUUUACCCAGUCUAGAACGCUGGGGGAAUAAGGAGAGGGCAAGUCUGGUGUCAGCCGCCGCGGUAAUACCAGCUCUCCGAGUGGUGUGGAUGUUUAUUGGGCCUAAAGCAUCCGUAGCUGGCUAGGUUAGUCCCCUGUUAAAUCCACCGAAUUAAUCGUUGGAUUGCGGGGGAUACUGCUUGGCUAGGGGACGAGAGAGGCAGACGGUAUUUCCGGGGUAGGGGUGAAAUCCUAUAAUCCCGGGAAGACCACCAGUGGCGAAGGCUGUCUGCUAGAACGCGCCCGACGGUGAGGGAUGAAAGCUGGGGGAGCGAACCGGAUUAGAUACCCGGGUAGUCCCAGCUGUAAACGAUGCAGACUAGGUGUUUGAACGGCCACGUGCCGUUCUAGUGCCGCAGGGAAGCUGUUAAGUCUGCCGCCUGGGGAGCACGAUCGCAAGAUUGAAACUUAAAGGAAUUGGCGGGGGAGCACCACAAGGGGUGAAGCUUGCGGUUUAAUUGGAGUCAACGCCGGAAAUCUCACCGGGAGCGACAGCAGAGUGAAGGCCAGAUUAAAGGUCUUGCCAGACAAGCUGAGAGGAGGUGCAUGGCCA